rnacentral:rRNA from 1 species
AGAGUUUGAUCCUGGCUCAGAACGAACGCUGGCGGCGUGCCUAACACAUGCAAGUCGAGCGCGAAAGGAGCAAUCCGAGUAGAGCGGCGCACGGGUGCGUAACACGUGGGUAAUCUGCCCUCGAGUCUGGGAUAACCAUUCGAAAGUUUGGCUAAUACCAGAUAAGCUCACGGGAGCCUCGGCUCCUGGGAGAAAAGUAGGCCUCUAUUUAUAAGCUUACACUCAAGGAUGAGCCCGCGGCCCAUCAGCUCGUUGGCGGGGUAACGGCCCACCAAGGCAACGACGGGUAGCUGGUCUGAGAGGACGAUCAGCCACACUGGAACUGAGACACGGUCCAGACUCCUACGGGAGGCAGCAGUGGGGAAUUUUCCACAAUGGGCGAAAGCCUGAUGGAGCAACGCCGCGUGUGUGAUGAAGGUCUUCGGAUCGUAAAGCACUUUCGACCGGGACGAAAAACCUCUGGCUAACAUCCAGGGGCCUGACGGUACUGGGAGAAGAAGCACCGGCUAACUCUGUGCCAGCAGCCGCGGUAAUACAGAGGGUGCAAGCGUUGUUCGGAAUUAUUGGGCGUAAAGCGCGUGUAGGCGGCUUUGCAAGUCAGAUGUGAAAGCCCUCGGCUCAACCGAGGAAGUGCGUCUGAAACUGCAGAGCUUGAGUACCGGAGAGGGUGGCGGAACUCUGCAAGUAGAGGUGAAAUUCGUAGAUAUGCGGAAGAACACCGGUGGCGAAGGCGGCCACCUGGACGGUCACUGACGCUGAGACGCGAAAGCGUGGGGAGCAAACAGGAUUAGAUACCCUGGUAGUCCACGCUGUAAACGAUGAGAACUAGGUGUCGUGGGUGUUGACCCCCGCGGUGCCGCAGCUAACGCAUUAAGUUCUCCGCCUGGGAAGUACGGCCGCAAGGUUAAAACUCAAA